GUGAAUCAUCAAAUUUUUGAACGCAAAUUGCACUCUUUGGUAUUCCGGAGAGUAUGCCUGUUUGAGGGUCAGUAUAUAUAAAAAUUGGUGUGGUUGCUGCCUUUCGUGGUGACGCAACGGAUGUGGGUCGUCUUGACUUCGGUUAAGUGACUUAAAAUUUUGCAUGAUAUUUUCGAUCGUAUUUAAAUGAUUUUAGGUAAGUUUGCG
rnacentral:misc_RNA from 1 species